rnacentral:misc_RNA from 1 species
GGAUGAAGAACGUAGCGAAAUGCGAUAAGUAGUGUGAAUUGCAGAAUUCAGUGAAUCAUCGAAUCUUUGAACGCACAUUGCGCCCCUUGGUAUUCCAUGGGGCAUGCCUGUUCGAGCGUCAUUUGUACCCUCAAGCUUUGCUUGGUGUUGGGUGUUUGUCCCGCGUUGCGCGUGGACUCGCCUUAAAGCGAUUGGCAGCCGGCAUAUUGGCCUUGGAGCGCAGCACAUUUUGCGCUUCUAGUCAUGAAUGUUGGCGUCCAUUAAGCCUAUACAUUUGCUCUUGACCUCGGAUCAGGUAGGGAUACCCGCUGAACUUAAGCAUAUCAAUAAGCGGAGGA